rnacentral:rRNA from 1 species
UACGUAGGGGGCUAGCGUUAUCCGGAAUUACUGGGCGUAAAGGGUGCGUAGGUGGUUUCUUAAGUCAGAGGUGAAAGGCUACGGCUCAACCGUAGUAAGCCUUUGAAACUGGGAAACUUGAGUGCAGGAGAGGAGAGUGGAAUUCCUAGUGUAGCGGUGAAAUGCGUAGAUAUUAGGAGGAACACCAGUGGCGAAGGCGACUUUCUGGACUGUAACUGACACUGAGGUACGAAAGCGUGGGUAGCAAACAGGAUUAGAUACCCUGGUAGUCCCUGAGCGGGCU